GAUGAACGCUGGCGGCGUGCCUAAUACAUGCAAGUCGAGCGAAUGGAUUAAGAGCUUGCUCUUAUGAAGUUAGCGGCGGACGGGUGAGUAACACGUGGGUAACCUGCCCAUAAGACUGGGAUAACUCCGGGAAACCGGGGCUAAUACCGGAUAACAUUUUGAACCGCAUGGUUCGAACUUGAAAGGCGGCUUCGGCUGUCACUUAUGGAUCGACCCGCGUCGCAUUUGCUAGUUGGUGAGGUAACGGCUCACCAAGGCAACGAUGCGUAGCCGACCUGAGAGGGUGAUCGGCCACACUGGGACUGAGACACGGCCCAGACUCCUACGGGAGGCAGCAGUAGGGAAUCUUCCGCAAUGGACGAAAGUCUGACGGAGCAACGCCGCGUGAGUGAUGAAGGCUUUCGGGUCGUAAAACUCUGUUGUUAGGGAAGAACAAGUGCUAGUUGAAUAAGCUGGCACCUUGACGGUACCUAACCAGAAAGCCACGGCUAACUACGUGCCAGCAGCCGCGGUAA
rnacentral:rRNA from 1 species